rnacentral:rRNA from 1 species
UACGUAGGGGGCGAGCGUUGUCCGGAUUUAUUGGGCGUAAAGAGCUCGUAGGCGGUUUGGUAAGUCGGGUGUGAAAUCUCCACGCUCAACGUGGAGGGGCCACUCGAUACUGCCAUGACUCGAGUCCGGUAGAGGAGUGUGGAAUUCCCGGUGUAGCGGUGAAAUGCGUAGAGAUCGGGAGGAACACCAGUGGCGAAGGCGGCUCGCUGGGCCGGACCUGACGCUGAGACGCGAAGGCGUGGGGAGCGAACGGG